rnacentral:rRNA from 1 species
GAUGAGCGCUGGCUACAGGCUUAACACAUGCAAGUCGAGGGGAAACGACGGGGAAGCUUGCUUCCCCGGGCGUCGACCGGCGCACGGGUGAGUAACGCGUAUCCAACCUGCCUCUGACUGAGGGAUAACCCGUCGAAAGUCGGCCUAAUACCUCAUGGCAUCGUCUGCGGGCAUCCAACGACGAUUAAAGAUUUCAUCGGUCAGGGAUGGGGAUGCGUCUGAUUAGCUUGUUGGCGGGGUAACGGCCCACCAAGGCUACGAUCAGUAGGGGUUCUGAGAGGAAGGUCCCCCACAUUGGAACUGAGACACGGUCCAAACUCCUACGGGAGGCAGCAGUGAGGAAUAUUGGUCAAUGGGCGGGAGCCUGAACCAGCCAAGUAGCGUGCAGGAGGACGGCCCUAUGGGUUGUAAACUGCUUUUAGGCGGGGAUAAAGUGAGGGACGUGUCCUUCAUUGCAGGUACCGCAUGAAUAAGGACCGGCUAAUUCCGUG